CGCUAGCUACAGGCUUAACACAUGCAAGUCGAGGGGCAGCAUGGUCUUAGCUUGCUAAGGCCGAUGGCGACCGGCGCACGGGUGAGUAACGCGUAUCCAACCUGCCUUACACUCUUGGACAGCCUUCUGAAAGGGAGAUUAAUACAAGAUGUUGUCAUGAGUAAGCAUUUUCACAUGAUUAAAGGUUUACCGGUGUAAGACGGGGAUGCGUUCCAUUAGAUAGUAGGCGGGGUAACGGCCCACCUAGUCUUCGAUGGAUAGGGGUUCUGAGAGGAAGGUCCCCCACAUUGGAACUGAGACACGGUCCAAACUCCUACGGGAGGCAGCAGUGAGGAAUAUUGGUCAAUGGACGAGAGUCUGAACCAGCCAAGUAGCGUGAAGGAUGAAGGUUCUAUGGAUUGUAAACUUCUUUUAUGCGGGAAUAAACGGAUCCACGUGUGGAUUUUUGCAUGUACCGUAUGAAUAAGGAUCGGCUAACUCCGUGCCAGCAGCCGCGGUAAUACGGAGGAUCCGAGCGUUAUCCGGAUUUAUUGGGUUUAAAGGGAGCGUAGAUGGGUUGUUAAGUCAGUUGUGAAAGUUUGCGGCUCAACCGUAAAAUUGCAAUUGAUACUGGCAGUCUUGAGUACAGUUGAGGUAGGCGGAAUUCGUGGUGUAGCGGUGAAAUGCUUAGAUAUCACGAAGAACUCCGAUUGCGAAGGCAGCUUACUAGCCUGUAACUGACAUUGAUGCUCGAAAGUGUGGGUAUCAAACAGGAUUAGAUACCCUGGUAGUCCACACGGUAAACGAUGAAUACUCGCUGUAGGCGAUAUACAGUCUGCGGCCAAGCGAAAGCAUUAAGUAUUCCACCUGGGGAGUACGCCGGCAACGGUGAAACUCAAAGGAAUUGACGGGGGCCCGCACAAGCGGAGGAACAUGUGGUUUAAUUCGAUGAUACGCGAGGAACCUUACCCGGGCUUAAAUUGCAACCGAAUAUGGCGGAAACGCUAUAGCUAGCAAUAGCGGUUGUGAAGGUGCUGCAUGGUUGUCGUCAGCUCGUGCCGUGAGGUGUCGGCUUAAGUGCCAUAACGAGCGCAACCCUUGCCGAUAGUUACUAACAGGUCAUACUGAGGACUCUGUCGGGACUGCCAUCGUAAGAUGUGAGGAAGGUGGGGAUGACGUCAAAUCAGCACGGCCCUUACGUCCGGGGCUACACACGUGUUACAAUGGGGGGUACAGAGGGCUGCUACCACGCAAGUGGAUGCCAAUCCCAAAAACCUCUCUCAGUUCGGAUUGAAGUCUGCAACCCGACUUCAUGAAGCUGGAUUCGCUAGUAAUCGCGCAUCAGCCACGGCGCGGUGAAUACGUUCCCGGGCCUUGUACACACCGCCCGUCAAGCCAUGGGAGCCGGGGGUACCUAAAGUGCGUAACCGCAAGGAGCGCCCUAGGGUAAAACCC
rnacentral:rRNA from 1 species